rnacentral:misc_RNA from 1 species
UUAACUAUUAUAUAGUACUCAGACGACACUAAUAUUCAGGGUUGGGGUCCUCCGGCGGGCGCUCCCCCGCUGAAGCCGGGGCGCGGCUAGGCCUCGUGGCCCGCCAAAGCAACAAACAUAGUAUGCAAGGGUGGGAGUUCUGACCCUUUUCAGGGAACAGAAAACACUUUAAUGAUCCUUCCGCAGGUUCACCUACGGAAA